GUUCUCGGGAGCUUACAUUCUAGAAGUGGAGAGAGACGAGUAAUAGUGAAACAUACAAGUGAACAAGGUGAGCGCACGCUGUGAAAGUGAAGGAGGAAGUCAGGGCCAAGCGCUGGGGGAAGCAAAGAGGCUGCUUCAGAGCCGGGAUGGGGGUGGUCUCUGAGGAGGUGACAUUGCUGCUGACAUCUGAACAAGAUGGGGCCACCCAUGCAAGACCAGGGGACCAGGAAGCCUGGGACUUGGUCCGAACCUGACCGUUGGAACCUCACCACCGGAACUCCAGCCCUGGAACUCCACCGCUGGAACUCUUUCGGAAGUGAGGGGUCCAUUGGUUCAAAAGACAGGGUCUCAUUUGUCACCCAGGCUGGAGUGCAGUGGUGUGAAGAUGGCUCACUGCUGUCAAGCCUGGUUUUUGCUUCAUUCUGUACCCUGAACUUCUGGAAGCAGAGAGAAACAUAAAAACUGGCACGGUGUGCUCUAAAGAAAAAGAAAGAAUGAACGAGUGAAAGAUAAAUAAAUAAAGGACCGAAUCAAUGUAAGAACAAUGCAUGAAGAUCAAGCAGAAAGACCCUGGGCUUUGGAAUCAAAAGAGAUGUCUGGGUUCCAGUCUCGGCCAGGGCUUUUCAGGGCAGCCCCUCUGGGUCUUGAUUUGCCCUUCCAUCAAGUGGUGUCGUAAACAGCUCCCUCUUGAGGUUGUGGGGAGAAUAAAAUAAAAUAAUCUGUGCAGAAGCUCUUUGUUAAUUUAAUAGCAUUUUGUAUAGGGAGAUGUACAAUGUCUUGUCCAAACCAGGACCGUUGAGAAUGAAAG